rnacentral:rRNA from 1 species
UACCUACGGGGGGCAGCAGUAGGGAAUAUUGGUAAUGCGCGAAAGCGCGAACCAGCAACGCCGCGUGUGCGAUGAAGGCCUUCGGGUUGUAAAGCACUUUUCGGGAGGAAGAGGAAGGACUGUACUCCCGGAAUAAGUCUCGGCUAACUACGUGCCAGCAGCCGCGGUAAUACGUAGGAGGCUAACGUUAUCCGGAUUUACUGGGCGUAAAGCGCGUGUAGGCGGUUCGGUAAGUUGGACGUGAAAGCUCCCGGCUCAACUGGGAGAGGUCGUUCAAUACUGUCGGGCUAGAGGAUGGUAGAGGGAGGUGGAAUUCCGGGUGUAGUGGUGAAAUGCGCAGAUAUCCGGAGGAACACCAGUGGCGAAGGCGGCCUCCUGGACCACUCCUGACGCUCAGACGCGAAAGCUAGGGUAGCGAACGGGAUUAGAUACCCCUGUAGUC